ACGUAGGGUGCAGGCGUUGUCCGGAAUUACUGGGUGUAAAGGGAGCGCAGGCGGGAAGACAAGUUGGAAGUGAAAACCAUGGGCUCAACCCAUGAAUUGCUUUCAAAACUGUUUUUCUUGAGUAGUGCAGAGGUAGAUGGAAUUCCCGGUGUAGCGGUGGAAUGCGUAGAUAUCGGGAGGAACACCAGUGGCGAAGGCGGUCUACUGGGCACCAACUGACGCUGAGGCUCGAAAGCAUGGGUAGCAAACAG
rnacentral:rRNA from 1 species